CCUACGGGUGGCAGCAGUGAGGAAUAUUGGUCAAUGGGCGCGAGCCUGAACCAGCCAAGUAGCGUGAAGGAUGACUGCCCUACGGGUUGUAAACUUCUGUUAUAAAGGAAUAAAGUGAGGCACGUGUGCCUUUUUGUAUGUACUUUAUGAAUAAGGAUCGGCUAACUCCGUGCCAGCAGCCGCGGUAAUACGGAGGAACCGAGCGUUAUCCGGAUUUAUUGGGUUUACAGGGAGCGUAGAUGGGUUGUUAAGUCAGUUGUGAAAGUUUUCGGCUCAACCGUAAAAUUGCAAUUGAUACGGGCAGCCUUGAGUACUGUUGAGGUAGGCGGACUUCGUGGUGUAGCG
rnacentral:rRNA from 1 species